AUUGAACGCUGGCGGCAGGCUUAACACAUGCAAGUCGAACGAGUGGCGGACGGGUGAGUAAUGCUUGGGAAUCUGGCUUAUGGAGGGGGAUAACGACGGGAAACUGUCGCUAAUACAGCGUACCAUAGGAUGAGCCCAAGUGGGAUUGGGUAGUUGGUGGGGUAAAGGCCUACCAAGCUGACGAUCUCUAGAUGGUCUGAGAGGAUGACCUGCCACACCGGGACUGAGACACGGCCCAGACUCCUACGGGAGGCAGCAGUGGGGAAUCUUCCGCAAUGGAUGAAAGUUGACGGAGCACCGCCGCGGUAGUGAUGACUGCCUUCGGGUUGUAAAGCGCUGUUAAUCGGGAUACGGUACCGGAAUAGAAAGCCACGGCUAACUACGUGCCAGCAGCCGCGGUAAUAC
rnacentral:rRNA from 1 species